UGCGACAUCUCCGCUUCUGAGAAGAACUUCCACAUUUCUUCUCAGAGCCAAGAUAUUAAGAAAGGAAGCUAACAAAAUUCGGCUGAAAUUGUUCGGAUCUGAAUCUGAAUCUAACAAUAUCCAGCUGAAAUUGUUCGGAUC